rnacentral:lncRNA from 1 species
GUUUUGAAGAAUACUGCAGAAUGGGAGCAAAGGAGUUAUGUACCCUUUUGAAAUUGAAAAUGACUCUCUUAAGGAGAAGAGAGAAAUAGCAAACCAUCCAGCUGCUGUUGUGUCCCCAAUGAAGGCUCUUCCAUUUACACUGUGGCACAGAGAUGCAUUCCUGCCUGCCUGGGGUACCUCCAUGCAUGUGACCAUAUCACCACUGGGCCUUUUGACCUUCUGUACUGGAAACUUUCUUUUCGAUCCCAUACAUCCUCAUAGGUUCCUGGGCAGGAUAUUCACAGCAAAGAAAGGAAGUGAAGACAACAUGACACAUCUGCAGCUCACAGCCACCACCGUCACACGACGUGGAGUAAAGCUGCCAAGGAGAAGAGCCUCUUUCAGUCAUUUUUCAGGCUCCUUUGUUCAUUAG